UACGUAGGGGGCUAGCGUUGUCCGGAUUUAUUGGGCGUAAAGGGCGUGUAGGCGGUCAGGUAAGUGAGAUGUGAAAUGCCCCGGCUCACCCGGGGACCGGCAUCUCAUACUGCUUGGCUUGAGUACGGGAGAGGAUGUGGGAAUUCCUGGUGUAGCGGUGAAAUGCGUAGAUAUCAGGAGGAACACCGGUGGCGAAGGCGCACAUCUGGCCCGAUACUGACGCUGAGGAGCGAAAGCGUGGGGAGCGAACAGG
rnacentral:rRNA from 1 species